CCGCUGAAAAAACAUAACCCAUAAAUGCUGGCUGUACCAGGAACCACCUCCUUAGCCUGCGUAAUCUCCCUUACGCAGGCUUAUUU
rnacentral:sRNA from 1 species